GUCGGAGAUUUACAGUGGACCCUAGACAACCUGUGCACAGGAAAGAACUCUCGACUACCCUUCCACCUCUUCUUCUAACAUUACACCCAGGCUUGGCCAGCCUUGGGUUGUGAGUGUGACAGGCAGUAAUAGCAAGAGCCCAGGGAUACCCCGAACAGGAGUGGUGGGACCGCUCUUGCUGCUUCAGGCCUGAAGAAUCCUUUAUUGUGAUACAAUUGUUUUUCUCCCAUUGGAGCACACCCAGGAGCAAUUGACCAGCCAGACAGAUGCCUCCUCCUUUACAGUGUUGCAGCACACAUUCAACCUGGAAAGAGCUGCCUUUGCCACAGCCAUUCGGAUGGGGCAUCUAUGUCAACAAGGAAAUAUGUUAUGCUAUGUUACUAAUGAAGCUAGAAGCUACUACUGGCUUGUGUAUGCAAGUGUUGCUGCUCUAAUAAUUUUGUUUUUGCUAUAUUGCUGUUUGCGUAAAAGGCCAAUGGUGACACUAGACACACUGUCAGAGGGAGGGUAAAAACCUAAGUGGUGACCCCUUACAAUGGAAUGUAUAUUCAGAGUCAAGGAGGGAAAUGUCACAAUACAAAUUGCCACCCCAUGGGGUCCCCUGGGUAAGCACCAGCAUUGUAUAUUGCUAAUGCUUUUAUAUGCAUUGGAAAGGAUCUUGGGAAGGGUUAAAGGUGUGAGUGUGGAGUGAAAGAUUCCUUUGCAAGUUACAAGAGGCCGAAGGGGGAGGAAGGGAGACAGGAAUGGGUUAACUCAACAAUCCAGCGAGGCCCGAAAAUAAGGAAUAAAACUGCAGCCCAACGCCAGUGCACACAAACAGCCUCUGGGCUGCCAAACAGCCGGAAACCUGUAUCUCAACACCAGCCAGCUGUAAGAAAGAAGAACUGAGCCAAACAAAAUUAAAGCCGUUGCAAAACUAGUAAAAUUACAAAGGUCAACAAGGUAAAACACAACAGUCUUGCGACCCUGAAACUGGUGUGUUUUGGGAAAGCUAAGGGAGCCGCAAAAAGCUGGUUUGAACUGGUACAGAGAGCAUGGGGGACAGGGGUCUCUGGAAGAAAUGACCCCAGAAGAACCCUGGGCUUAAAACUCUUCUGAGAGCUAAGCAACUUGGAGAUUUACAGCGAACCCUAGACGACCUGUGCACAGGAAAGAACUCUCGACUACCCUCCCCACACUUCUUCUUACAUUAUAC